AGGCCUGAAGGGGAUUCAGCGUUAGGUUCCCUUCCAUGAAGAACAUUCCACUGCCCAAAGGGCUGGGGAAAUGGGAUGUAGUGCAAAGAGAUCUUGCCUCUGGAGCCAAAAGACCUAAAUUCAGCCUCCAAGGGUUAUCAUUUAUGUGGCAGUGGUUACUAUGUUCCAGGAACUGGACUGGUGUCUUGUACAUGAUCUCAUUCAAGCCUUCCACAGCUCUAAGAGCAAAAAGAGCACAAGAAGCAUGGACUUUGAAGUCUGACAGAUCUGAGUUCAAGUUCAGAGUUUGCCAUUAACCACGCGAUUGUGGCCGGAGCAUCAGCAGGUGUGCGUAAGAGGCGUGAGGGGUGGCCUCUGCCAGGAAAUGAAAACAACAAAACCAAGAAAGGUCAAAAAGAAUCCUCAAAUGCCUUCUUUAAUCAGUCACAAAGACUGGAAAACAGAAAAAGCUUCAAGUCCAACUACCUACACGCAACUGUCAACAAGCUUUAAUUUUAUAGGCUAGAAUUUCCAGACGUGAAAUUACAGGAUCAAAGUCAAAGGCCGUGGACUUUUAUUCAAGUUCCAAUUGAUGUCUGGGUUGGCUUCUCAAGUGAACACACCAAUUCCAAGAGACUGCAAGUGAGUCUUCGGUCACUGGUGCGAAGAUAAAGGUCUAGAAGACAAGAGGCUGUGUGUCACGUACGGAAUGAGGGCUGCUGUCUUCCCUCUUCUGCAUGGCAGUGUGCAUCAGAGC